rnacentral:tRNA from 1 species
AGCAGCGUGGCUCAGUGGAAAGAGCACUGAGUCAGAGGUCCUGAGUUCAAAUCCCAGCUCCGCCA